rnacentral:rRNA from 1 species
GAUGAACGCUGGCGGCGUGCCUAAUACAUGCAAGUCGAGCGAACAGAUGAGGAGCUUGCUCCUCUGACGUUAGCGGCGGACGGGUGAGUAACACGUGGAUAACCUACCUAUAAGACUGGGAUAACUUCGGGAAACCGGAGCUAAUACCGGAUAAUAUAUUGAACCGCAUGGUUCAAUAGUGAAAGACGGUUUUGCUGUCACUUAUAGAUGGAUCCGCGCCGCAUUAGCUAGUUGGUAAGGUAACGGCGUACCAAGGCAACGAUGCGUAGCCGACCUGAGAGGGUGAUCGGCCACACUGGAACUGAGACACGGUCCAGACUCCUACGGGAGGCAGCAGUAGGGAAUCUUCCGCAAUGGGCGAAAGCCUGACGGAGCAACGCCGCGUGAGUGAUGAAGGUCUUCGGAUCGUAAAACUCUGUUAUUAGGGAAGAACAAAUGUGUAAGUAACUAUGCACGUCUUGACGGUACCUAAUCAGAAAGCCACGGCUAACUACGUG